AGGAUUAUGCUGUUGUGUUUCUACUGUGUCUCUGGGUUUUGUUCUGCUAGUGCUUCUGCUACAGUUUACGCUAUGAAGUCUUGCUUCACCUGAAACUGUACCUGAGGCACGUGAAUGUCGUAGCUGUCAGUAGAGCACCCGCAUUGAAACGUUUCGCAAGAGAUUAAUCCAUAGGUCUAUGAAUAACCCGGCAUUUAUCCUACCUGCAGCUUCAGCUGGUAGAAUUUCUACACUGAGGACUGAGCUCCUAGCUAUAGCUAGCUUGGCUGG